GAGAGGAUGGGCACGGCAAACAGAACUUGAACGCCGGAUGGAUGGAUACUGGCGCUGCCGGGCGCAGACAUCAUUCUCCUCCUGGCCGAGCUCCUCCACAACACCCCGUCUGCAACCCAUGUUUGAUGUGCCGCAGGCUGGAUGGGGACGCGUGGACCUCCUGCUCCUCCCGACCAAGCUUGAUUGUGUGUGCGACCUGCUGACGGCGCUCGGGGUGUUUGAGCUUUGAGGUAGGAUAGCAGGAGCGGUGACUAGCAUCAAGGAGGAGCAGCAAGAAGCAGCGACAACUAGCUAGCUGCUAGCAUGCGCCCCUCUCUCUCUCAUGUACAUGGAUUUGUAAUGGGAAAGUACUUUCUCGGUUCUUUCUUUAGUGUGAACCAUCUUUUGCUAUUCAUGAGCAUCCACCCACAACCUGUUUGAUGUUAUGCGUACAACAGACUGAGACACAUUUUAAUUUUCUGGUCAAACUCUUACCUCUAUUUAGAAAAUGAAAAUGAAGAAGCAUGUGUAUCUGA